UGGGGAAUUGUUCGCAAUGGGCGCAAGCCUGACGACGCAACGCCGCGUGGAGGAUGAAGGUCUUCGGAUUGUAAACUCCUGUUGACCGGGAAGAAUGGGCUCCGACUUAAUACGUCGGGGCAAUGACGGUACCGGUUGAGGAAGCCACGGCUAACUCUGUGCCAGCAGCCGCGGUAAUACAGAGGUGGCAAGCGUUGUUCGGAAUUACUGGGCGUAAAGGGCGCGUAGGCGGCUCGCUAAGUCAGACGUGAAAUCCCCCGGCUUAACCUGGGAACUGCGUCUGAUACUGGCAAGCUUGAGUGCGGGAGAGGGAUGUGGAAUUCCAGGUGUAGCGGUGAAAUGCGUAGAUAUCUGGAGGAACACCGGUGGCGAAGGCGGCAUCCUGGACCGACACUGACGCUGAGGCGCGAAAGCUAGGGGAGCAAACGGG
rnacentral:rRNA from 1 species